rnacentral:misc_RNA from 1 species
CUUGAAAGCAGUAAGGGACAUGGCCUGGGGAUCCAAGAGGAGAUGAGGGUGGGGGAAACAUUCUGCCACUGUUUCGAUCUUUUGUCUCUUUUUCCCUCAACUUCCUGUAGAUGCCCGCCAGGGAUGGCUGGCUGCCCUGCAGGACCGCAGCAUCCUUGCCCCCCUGGCAUGGGAUCUGGGGCUCCUGCUUCUAUUUGUUGGGCAGCACAGCCUCAUGGCAGCUGAAAGAGUGAAGGCAUGGACAUCCCGGUACUUUGGGGUCCUUCAGAGGUCACUGUAUGUGGCCUGCACUGCCCUGGCCUUGCAGGUAUACUACCAUGUGCUGGGGCUGGGCGAGCCUCUGGCCCUGAAGUCUCCCCGGGCUCUCAGACUCUUCUCCCACCUGCGCCACCCAGUGUGUGUGGAGCUGCUGACAGUGCUGUGGGUGGUGCCUACCCUGGGCACGGACCGUCUCCUCCUUGCUUUCCUCCUUACCCUCUACCUGGGCCUGGCUCACGGGCUUGAUCAGCAAGACCUCCGCUACCUCCGGGCCCAGCUACAAAGAAAACUCCACCUGCUCUCUCGGCCCCAGGAUGGGGAGGCAGAGUGAGGAGCUCACUCUGGUUACAAGCCCUGUUCUUCCUCUCCCACUGAAUUCUAAAUCCUUAACAUCCAGGCCCUGGCUGCUUCAUGCCAGAGGCCCAAAUCCAUGGACUGAAGGAGAUGCCCCUUCUACUACUUGAGACUUUAUUCUCUGGGUCCAGCUCCAUACCCUAAAUUCUGAGUUUCAGCCACUGAACUCCAAGGUCCACUUCUCACCAGCAAGGAAGAGUGGGGUAUGGAAGUCAUCUGUCCCUUCACUGUUUAGAGCAUGACACUCUCCCCCUCAACAGCCUCCUGAGAAGGAAAGGAUCUGCCCUGACCACUCCCCUGGCACUGUUACUUGCCUCUGCGCCUCAGGGGUCCCCUUCUGCACCGCUGGCUUCCACUCCAAGAAGGUGGACCAGGGUCUGCAAGUUCAACGGUCAUAGCUGUCCCUCCAGGCCCCAACCUUGCCUCACCACUCCCGGCCCUAGUCUCUGCACCUCCUUAGGCCCUGCCUCUGGGCUCAGACCCCAACCUAGUCAAGGGGAUUCUCCUGCUCUUAACUCGAUGACUUGGGGCUCCCUGCUCUCCCGAGGAAGAUGCUCUGCAGGAAAAUAAAAGUCAGCCUUUUUCUACAUA